UCCGCCCUACGGGGCGCAGCAGUAGGGAAUCUUCGGCAAUGGGGGGAACCCUGACCGAGCAACGCCGCGUGAGAGAAGAAGGUUUUCGGAUCGUAAAGCUCUGUUGUAAGAGAAGAACGUUAGCGGGAGUGGAAAAUCCGCUAAGUGACGGAACCUUACCAGAAAGGGACGGCUAACUACGUGCCAGCAGCCGCGGGAAUACGUAGGUCCCGAGCGUUGUCCGGAUUUAUUGGGCGUAAAGCGAGCGCAGGCGGUUUGAUAAGUCCGAAGUAAAAGGCUGGG
rnacentral:rRNA from 1 species